UACAGGGGGUGCAAACGUUGCUCGGAAUCAUUGGGCGUAAAGCGCACGUAGGCGGUUCGUUAUGUCGGAUGUGAAAGCCCUUGGCUUAACCGAGGAAGUGCAUCCGAAACUGGCGAGCUAGAGUACGAAAGAGGAUCGCGGAAUUCCCGGUGUAGAGGUGAAAUUCGUAGAUAUCGGGAGGAACACCGGUGGCGAAGGCGGCAUCU
rnacentral:rRNA from 1 species